GAUGAACGCUGGCGGCGUGCCUAAUACAUGCAAGUCGAGCGAACGGACGAGAAGCUUGCUUCUCUGAUGUUAGCGGCGGACGGGUGAGUAACACGUGGAUAACCUACCUAUAAGACUGGGAUAACUUCGGGAAACCGUAGCUAAUACCGGAUAAUAUUUUGAACCGCAUGGUUCAAAAGUGAAAGACGGUCUUGCUGUCACUUAUAGAUGGAUCCGCGCUGCAUUAGAUAGUUGGUAAGGUAACGGCUUACCAAGGCAACGAUGCAUAGCCGACCUGAGAGGGUGAUCGGCCACACUGGAACUGAGACACGGUCCAGACUCCUACGGGAGGCAGCAGUAGGGAAUCUUCCGCAACGGGCGAAAGCCUGACGGAGCAACGCCGCGUGAGUGAUGAAGGUCUUCGGAUCGUAAAACUCUGUUAUUAGGGAAGAACAUAUGUGUAAGUAACUGUGCACAUCUUGACGGUACCUAAUCAGAAAGCCACGGCUAACUACGUG
rnacentral:rRNA from 1 species